UACCAGCUCUCCGAGUGGUAGGGAYGAUUAUUGGGCUUAAAGCGUUCGUAGCCGGCCUGGCAAGUCUCUCGUCAAAUCCAGCGACUCAAUCGCUGGGCCGCGGGAGAUACUGCUAGGCUUGGGAGCGGGAGAGGUCGACGGUAUUCCCGGGGUAGGAGUGAAAUCCUGUAAUCCCGGGAGGACCACCAGUGGCGAAGGCUGUCGACUAGAACGCGUCCGACGGUGAGGGACGAAAGCUGGGGGAGCGAACCGGAUUAGAUACCCGGGUAGUCCCAGCUGUAAACGAUGCGGGCUAGGUGUCGGUGUGGCUACGAGCCACUCCGGUGCCGCAGGGAAGCUCUUAAGCCCGCCGCCUGGGAAGUACGGUCGCAAGGYUGAAACUUAW
rnacentral:rRNA from 1 species